rnacentral:piRNA from 1 species
UGGCAGAUUAGCAGGAUCCUCUUGGC